rnacentral:rRNA from 1 species
AUUGAACGCUGGCGGCGGGCUUAACACAUGCAAGUCGAGCGGAGAUGAGGUGCUUGCACCUUAUCUUAGCGGCGGACGGGUGAGUAAUGCUUAGGAAUCUGCCUAUUAGUGGGGGACAACAUUCCGAAAGGAAUGCUAAUACCGCAUACGUCCUACGGGAGAAAGCAGGGGAUCUUCGGACCUUGCGCUAAUAGAUGAGCCUAAGUCGGAUUAGCUAGUUGGUGGGGUAAAGGCCUACCAAGGCGACGAUCUGUAGCGGGUCUGAGAGGAUGAUCCGCCACACUGGGACUGAGACACGGCCCAGACUCCUACGGGAGGCAGCAGUGGGGAAUAUUGGACAAUGGGCGCAAGCCUGAUCCAGCCAUGCCGCGUGUGUGAAGAAGGCCUUAUGGUUGUAAAGCACUUUAAGCGAGGAGGAGGCUACUUUAGUUAAUACCUAGAGAUAGUGGACGUUACUCGCAGAAUAAGCACCGGCUAACUCUGUGCCAGCCGCCGCCGUAAUAC